UACGUAGGGUGCGAGCGUUGUCCGGAAUUACUGGGCGUAAAGAGCUCGUAGGUGGUUUGUCGCGUUGUUCGUGAAAACUCACAACUCAAUUGUGGGCGUGCGGGCGAUACGGGCAGACUGGAGUACUGCAGGGGAGACUGGAAUUCCUGGUGUAGCGGUGGAAUGCGCAGAUAUCAGGAGGAACACCGAUGGCGAAGGCAGGUCUCUGGGCCACUACUGACGCUGAGAAGCGAAAGCGUGGGGAGCGAACAGG
rnacentral:rRNA from 1 species